rnacentral:rRNA from 1 species
CCUACGGGGGGCAGCAGUGGGGAAUAUUGGACAAUGGGGGCAACCCUGAUCCAGCCAUGCCGCGUGUGUGAAGAAGGCCCUCGGGUUGCAAAGCACUUUCAGUGAGGAAGAACGCCUGGUGGUUAAUACCCAUCAGGAAAGACAUCACUCACAGAAGAAGCACCGGCUAACUCCGUGCCAGCAGCCGCGGUAAUACGGAGGGUGCGAGCGUUAAUCGGAAUUACUGGGCGUAAAGCGCGCGUAGGUGGCUUGAUAAGCCGGUUGUGAAAGCCCCGGGCUCAACCUGGGAACGGCAUCCGGAACUGUCAAGCUAGAGUGCAGGAGAGGAAGGUAGAAUUCCCGGUGUAGCGGUGAAAUGCGUAGAGAUCGGGAGGAAUACCAGUGGCGAAGGCGGCCUUCUGGACUGACACUGACACUGAGGUGCGAAAGCGUGGGUAGCAAACAGGAUUAGAUACCCGGGUAGUC